CACUGAACAAGGAACAGACCAUCAUCACAUUACAACAACCGAAAGACUGAAUGAACACAGGUAGAUUUUGUAAAGCAAUGCUGACCUAACACAUCAGGUCUCAACUAACAACUAACCAUCAACACGAUAGCUUCCAAUUGUUUGUAAUUAUGACUGCUUAGCAAGCAUGUAGAGUCUAGGUUCCACAGUAAGUAAUUACUCAGCGAGUACAGUGGCCCAAUCUAUGUUCGGUGAUGUCCACACACAGGGUUUAUUAUAAAAUACCUCACUUACAUAAUAAAAAUCAAUUUCCCUCGAAACAAUUAAGGGCUUUAGUUGGUGCAAGACCAACCAGGCCAUUCUAUUUUCCAAGCAAAUAUCCGCCGCAUAUAAUGAAAACUAACUAAAUUAAGACAGCUCCACGGAGUAACGGCAAUUGUUGAGCUCAGGGAAUGCUGCACAGAUGGUACAUUAAUUCUACGUGUCACUGCUUUUCCCCACAGUUUUAAUACUGAAAUUAUUAUUCCCACCUCCCUGGUUCCACCACCUGGACAAAUUUAACACAGAGUUAAGAACAAAAAAACUGCCAGCCAAUCGCUCGAGUUUUGUCGGGACAAUGCAUAAAUCAGGAACCCUUAAUUAACUUGCGGAGUUGGUACCCAAUCAACGCGAUAGCUUCCAAUUAUUUGCAAUUAUGACUACUUAACAAGCGUGUACAGUCUAGGUUGUACAGUAACUAAUUACUUGAGGAGUACACUGGCCCAAUCUAAGUUCGGUGAUGUACACACAGGGGCUUAUCAUAAAAGAUCUCCCUUAAAAUAAUAUAAAGCAAUUCAUCUCCAAACAACUAAGAGCUUUAGUUCGUGCAUCGCUAUCAACGAUGGGCGAUAGUACAGUAUAAACCAGGC
rnacentral:lncRNA from 1 species